rnacentral:tRNA from 1 species
GGAGUCAUGGUUCAGUGGUAGAACAUCGGCUUUGCAUGCAGAAGAUCCCAGGUUCUAUUCCCAGAAUCUCCA